rnacentral:rRNA from 1 species
GAUUGAGCGGCCGAUAUCAGAUUAGCUAGUUGGUGAGGUAAAAGCUCACCAAGGCGACGAUCUGUAGCGGGUCUGAGAGGAUGAUCCGCCACACUGGAACUGAGACACGGUCCAGACUCCUACGGGAGGCAGCAGUGGGGAAUUUUGGACAAUGGGGGCAACCCUGAUCCAGCCAUGCCGCGUGAGUGAAGAAGGCCUUCGGGUUGUAAAGCUCUUUCAGCCGGGAAGAAAAUGCAUAGGUUAAUACCCUGUGCAGAUGACGGUACCGGAAUAAGAAGCACCGGCUAACUACGUGCCAGCAGCCGCGGUAAUACGUAGGGUGCGAGCGUUAAUCGGAAUUACUGGGCGUAAAGCGUGCGCAGGCGGUUUUGUAAGACAGGCGUGAAAUCCCCGGGCUUAAACUGGGAACUGCGUUUGUGACUGCAAGGCUAGAGUACGGCAGAGGGGGGUGGAAUUCCACGUGUAGCAGUGAAAUGCGUAGAGAUGUGGAGGAACACCAAUGGCGAAGGCAGCCCCCUGGGUCGAUACUGACGCUCAUGCACGAAAGCGUGGGUAGCAAACAGGAUUAGAUACCCUGGUAGUCCACGCCCUAAACGAUGUCAACUAGGUGUUGGGAGGGUAAAACCUUUUAGUACCGUAGCUAACGCGAGAAGUUGACCGCCUGGGGAGUACGGCCGCAAGGUUAAAACUCAAAGGAAUUGACGGGGACCCGCACAAGCGGUGGAUGAUGUGGAUUAAUUCGAUGCAACGCGAAAAACCUUACCUACCCUUGACAUGUCAGGAACUUUCCAGAGAUGGAUUGGUGCCCGAAAGGGAACCUGAACACAGGUGCUGCAUGGCUGUCGUCAGCUCGUGUCGUGAGAUGUUGGGUUAAGUCCCGCAACGAGCGCAACCCUUGUCGUUAAUUGCCAUCAUUCAGUUGGGCACUUUAACGAGACUGCCGGUGACAAACCGGAGGAAGGUGGGGAUGACGUCAAGUCCUCAUGGCCCUUAUGGGUAGGGCUUCACACGUCAUACAAUGGUCGGUACAAAGGGUCGCCAACCCGCGAGGGGGAGCCAAUCCCAUAAAGCCGAUCGUAGUCCGGAUUGUAGGCUGCAACUCGCCUGCAUGAAGUCGGAAUCGCUAGUAAUCGUGGAUCAGCAUGUCACGGUGAAUACGUUCCCGGGUCUUGUACACACCGCCCGUCACACCAUGGGAGCGGGUUCCGCCAGAAGUAGGUAGCCUAACCGCAAGGGGGGCGCUUACCACGGCGGGGUUCGUGACUGGGGUGAAGUCGUAACAAGGUA